UCAGGUGGCUAUAGCGCCGGGGUUCCACCUCUUCCCAUCCCGAACAGAGAAGUUAAGCCCGUCCACGCCGAUGGUACUGCCCACAAGGUGGGAGAGUAGGUAGCCGCCGUCU
rnacentral:rRNA from 1 species